UAUGAUUUGUUAACUUUGUCAGAAUUGGUUGUAUGAUCCUGAUAUGGUUUGUUAACUUUGUCAUCUAUGAUAGGUGAAAAUGCAAUCUUUAAAUUCACUCUAGCUUGGAGAAUCAAACAACAUGCAUACAUCAAUAAAAGUCUUAUUUAAAAGAGAACAGGAAAAUUAAGUUUUAAUAAUUAAAAUGCACACAGCAUGUACAGGUAUAGUUACAAAGACAAUAAUUUUUUUGACGUUGAAUGAAAUGACAAACAAAAACAAUAAUUCAUAUUUAAAUUAGCACACAUGUAUUUUGUUUAAAUAACGCAGCCAGGAUUUUAUUAAAACUCUUUCUUUUCAUGUAAUAUUUGUGAUCCACUUCCAAUCUAACUUUGUAGCAUUAGAUUAGGAUUGGAUCACUGGUCAGUUUCAGAGUCAUAGUAACCUUGCUAUGCAAUUCUCCUGCUGGGCAGCACGCUGUAGUACAGUGGUUUGCAGCUGAUCUAGGUCAGAAUUUGAAUUUUGAUAAACAAGAUGUGCGCGUUUUCUUGUUGCCGAUUUAAAAGAAAAGCCUUUGCACCAUAUAAGCAAUAACAAUAAGUGCUGGACUUUUAUCUCUAUACUCGCUACCGACAUUUCCAUCUUCAUGAUUAACAUAUGAGUUGCAUUCAAAUUACCAAAUUCAAAAGACCCGCCUUUGGUGAAGACAAAAUUUGUGGUGCUUAUAUACAUAUAUAAAGAGCUUAUAUCAGAGGAUAGACUACUUCAUUGGGAGCCCUUUCAGUGUUUGUGAUUCUGAAUAAUAGAUCCACCACUCUGCUGAUUCUGUAGUGAACAAAUGUUGUAAUUAUAUGCUUUUGCAGAAUCAUAAAUAAGCAGUGAUAUCAUUGAGUUCCGGAUUAUUCUUUAAGAAGAAUAGAUUUCUGUGAUUAUGUUCUUAUAAAAUUCAGUGAAUAGUUUGGAUAAUGUUUUAUAUUCAAAUCGUCAUCUUAUUAAGGAAGAUCAUUUGUUGGGAUUAUAUUUAUAU